AAAUAAGAAGCAAAUAAAUUUGUAAUUAGUUUCGACCUAAUCUUAGAUGUUAAUUCAUCCUUAUUUA
rnacentral:tRNA from 1 species